UCCCACGGACUCAUCUGGUGGCCUUUUGG
rnacentral:piRNA from 1 species